rnacentral:rRNA from 1 species
UACGGGGGGGGCAAGCGUUGUUCGGAAUUACUGGGCGUAAAGGGCUCGUAGGCGGCCAACUAAGUCAGACGUGAAAUCCCUCGGCUUAACCGGGGAACUGCAUCUGAUACUGGAUGGCUUGAGUUCGGGAGAGGGAUGUGGAAUUCCAGGUGUAGCGGUGAAAUGCGUAGAUAUCUGGAGGAACACCGGUGGCGAAGGCGGCCUGCUGGGCAGUUGCUGACACUGAGGCGCGACAGCGUGGGGAGCAAACAGG